AACGAACGCUGGCGGCAGGCUUAACACAUGCAAGUCGAACGCAUCCUUCGGGGUGAGUGGCAGACGGGUGAGUAACGCGUGGGAACGUGCCCUUCAGUUCGGGAUAACCCAGGGAAACUUGGGCUAAUACCGGAUACGUGCGAGAGCAGAAAGAUUUAUCGCUGAAGGAUCGGCCCGCGUCUGAUUAGCUAGUUGGUGGGGUAAUGGCCCACCAAGGCGACGAUCAGUAGCUGGGCUGAGAGGAUGUUCAGCCACAUUGGGACUGAGACACGGCCCAAACUCCUACGGGCGGCAGCAGUGGAGAAUAUUGGACAAUGGGCGCAAGCCUGAUCCAGCCAUGCCGCGUGAGUGAUGAAGGCCUUAGGGUUGUAAAGCUCUUUCGUCCGGGACGAUAAUGACGGUACCGGAAGAAGAAGCCCCGGCUAACAUCGUGCCAGCCGCCGCCGUAACAC
rnacentral:rRNA from 1 species